ACGCUCGACACCUACGGGAGGGCAGCAGUGGGGAAUAUUGCACAAUGGGGGAAACCCUGAUGCAGCAACGCCGCGUGAAGGAAGACGGUUUUCGGAUUGUAAACUUCUGUUCUUAGUGAAGAUAGUGACGGUAGCUAAGGAGCAAGCCACGGCUAACUACGUGCUAGCACGCCGGCGGUAAUCUGAGGCGGGCUGGCAAGGC
rnacentral:rRNA from 1 species